rnacentral:SRP_RNA from 1 species
ACCGGAAAGUUAGACAUCCUUCUGUAAGCAGGGUUGCGGUUUAUAAGGAGAUGAAUUCAUUCGCUGGUGGACUCACAGUCUAGUAUGUACUUUGUCGAAAACAGUGUCUUGGAGUGUCCAGUGUCAAUAUUCUGGUUCAGGCGCAGGCUUGAAUCAGGAGGUUGUUCGAUACUGGGGAAACGCCCGAGGGUAGCAAUACAGCAGGAAAAACCCAGAGCACCGGUUCGGCAGUGAGAUAGCACGUUGGAGGAGCAUCUAAGUAUACUACCACUACGUGUGGGAACUACCUCUUUUU